rnacentral:rRNA from 1 species
CCCUUAGAUGUUCUGGGCUGCACGCGCGCUACACUGAAGCGUUCAACGAGUAUUUCACCUUGCCCGGGAGGGUUGGGUAAUCUUUUUAAAACGCUUCGUGAUGGGGAUAGAUUAUUGCAAUUAUUAAUCUUCAACGAGGAAUUCCUAGUAAGCGCGAGUCAUCAGCUCGUGCUGAUUACGUCCCUGCCCUUUGUACACACCGCCCGUCGCACCUACCGAUUGAAUGGUCCGGUGAAAUCUCGGGACGGCGGCUCGGUCGCUUGCGUCCGACUGCUGAAACUUGAUUAAACCAUAUCAUUUAGAGGAAGGUGAAGUCGUAACA